GAUGAACGCUGGCGGCGUGCUUAACACAUGCAAGUCGAGCGAAGCGCUUUACUUUGAUUUCUUCGGAUUGAAAAGUGUUGCGACUGAGCGGCGGACGGGUGAGUAACGCGUGGGCAACCUGCCUCAUACAGGGGGAUAACAGUUAGAAAUGACUGCUAAUACCGCAUAAGACCACAGUACCGCAUGGUAUAGUGGUAAAAACUCCGGUGGUAUGAGAUGGGCCCGCGUCUGAUUAGGUAGUUGGUGGGGUAACGGCCUACCAAGCCGACGAUCAGUAGCCGACCUGAGAGGGUGACCGGCCACAUUGGGACUGAGACACGGGUCCAAACUCCUACGGGAGGCAGCAGUGGGGAAUAUUGCACAAUGGGCGAAAGCCUGAUGCAGCGACGCCGCGUGAGCGAAGAAGUAUCUCGGGUAUGUAAAGCUCUAUCAGCAGGGAA
rnacentral:rRNA from 1 species